ACAACUAAUUGAACCCCUAACCAUGUAAACAAUGAAGUUUUCACACUUGUACUCCAACUGCAUUCAGUAAACAAGUGAUGUUGUGUUUCCAGCACACUCUCAUCACAUACAUAACACUUUCGAUCCUCCAUUGAAAUAUUCAUUUUCUGCAAUCUCUCACAAGUGAGUAGUUGUCAUUGACAUGCCAACCAAGUAAUAAAUCUAUGUUAAGGGAGCUUGACAGAGUUCCAGAUUAGAUAAGCCUCUUUUAAUUUGCAACCUACCAGCAUAUGACAAAAUUUUAUCUUAGGCAGAAUGUAUUCUUGCUAUUAUUUUGUCAACUAAACGGUCUUAGGCUACUUGUUGGCCAAAGUCUUACCUCUCUUUCUCUUUCUCUUUCUGGUAGCUGAUUUGAUGGCACAUCACCUCUUCACUCGUGUCCAUUCCUUCUGAUCAUUUUUAAGACAUUAACCUUCCAUUAGAUUUCGACAACCAAGGGUUUUCCUGGAAGGUUCUGAUGGUGACUUUCACCAAAGUUGAUAUUAUUUAUUUUGGUGUAUCUUUUGUGUUCAUCUAUAAAUGUUAAGUUAAAUUAUUUGAUGAGUUAAGUCCUUAUAUUCGAUGUUGUUACAUUUUGGAAAAAUAUAUUGUUUUGUAACUGAGCCAUAUAUAUAGUUGCAUUGAAGAAUCAAAAAUAAAAGAAGAUGCACAACGAGACAUCUCCAAUUUGAAACUAUGCAUAUCUACUGUAUAGGUUACAGGUUACUGAUGCAUCAAUAUUUCUUAAUUUAUUUCAAGCUACACAUAUUACUUGGUAAUGCUCGCAAAAGGGAGAGUAGUCGUGACUAAUUAACUAACAUGUAUGUCUGCCACUAAGAGUUGAUUCCUUAGCCUCUUAGUGUGACUGGUGUUGUCUGUUCUAUAUAUUUGCAGGAGUUUCACAGAAAAUUUUACCAUCCAAGCAAUGCAAGAAUAUGAUUUUAUGGAGACGAUGACCCACAUGAACGUUUGCGGAUCAUAAGUGGUACUUAUUUGUCUGCCUCUUACAAUUUCAAAUGAACAUGAACAGUGUUAAUUCAUGUGGUUUGCCUAUACUAGGAAUCCUUCUUGAACAAUGCUUUUGCUCGAAUAUUCAUUACUCUUAUGUACAUUUUAGAUGUGUUAAAAGGACAUAUGGAUAUUACAAAAUCGUUGACAUUCCAAUCUCAGAAACUUUACCUACACCUAUCAGAUGCCUUAUUUUAUUUUAAUUGUUUUGCACAUAGCUCAACAACAUAUGGACAUCAUUACACAAAAUUUUAAAAAUUUGGGGGACAUGAAACGUUUUACAUUAUUUAUUUUGGGUAUCAUUUCUAGUACAACCAAGAAGCAUUUGUGACUUCCAAGGUAAUGGAAAACACGUUCCCAAUCUUCUACUUAGUUAUUACGUUCCCCUUUGUUAACUGUGUCCUUGGUUUUUUCCCUCUAUUUUAUCCCAGAUGUUAUUUUGGUAGUGCCAAUCAUCAGACCGUAUGUGUUCAGACAUUGUUUCAAUGUUCAUAUGUUUUUCUUUGAUUUGAGUCGUAUGAAAUUUACGAAAAAAAUAUAAUUGCUAUAUCACAUGUUUUCUUUCUGUACCUUUUUUGGAGCUUAUAUUCAUGUACUUUUCUAACUUUUGUUCUUUGUUCUCGGUUGGUAUUGAACUAUUGUUAUAUUUGGAUGAGUAUUGUAAUUAAAGUUCAUGAAAUAUGUGCUUUGAAUUUAGUUGUAGUACUUGUCUAUUGGUACAUCUAUUUGGCAUGUUUUACUAGUUAUAACUAAACUAAUUUCUUGAGGAGUUUUGAAUCCCUUUUCUUGAUUGAUUUGAUUUUUUUAGAAAAUUUAAAAUUUUCUACGGGCCUUUUAAACUAAUAAAUCUAUGAGUUGAUCAAGUUUUUGAGCUAGACUAAACAUCAUGAGCACUUAAAAUUAUAUUAUGCUUGCCUUCUUAACACUUUGUAUAGAAACAGAGGAUUAGUGGUGAGUUUUCUUCAGACAUGUAAUUUUUAUAUUGCGGAGAGUGUGACUCCACUGUCUUGUUUCAGGUAUGCCUUCUCCUUCUCCUCGUCCUCGUCCUCGUCCUCCGUCUUCUUCUAUUGCAAGCGAGAGUGUGAGGAGAUGUCAAAAAAAUUUCAAUUCUUGGUCACAAUCACUAGAGAGGUUUCUAAUAGGGGAUGACAUUUUUUUAUAGAAAAAAUAUUAAUUUUAAUUUUGUAUCUAGACUAAUUAUAACUCUUUCCUUCCCAACGUCUACCUGUGUUUAUGGAUAUGUGUAUUACAUCAGCAUAUGUAUCAUCUGUUUUGUUUUCAUGUUGUAUGCACCAGUUUUUUUUCUAAAAAAAAUUAUAUAGUAAUUAUUUUCAUAUAAUUUCUUUUAUUGAAAUAAAAUUUUAGCUUUUGGUAGCGUUACUUACAAUCUUAGCUUUGGAAAAUCUUAAUUUUAAUACUUGAUUAGAAACCAUGGGCUGCUAGUGAAUUUGAGUCACAAGAAUGGUCGGGAU
rnacentral:lncRNA from 1 species